UACAUGGGGUGCAAACGUUGCUCGGAAUUAUUGGGCGUAAAGCGCACGUAGGCGGUCCGUUAAGUCAGAUGUGAAAGCCCCCGGCUCAACCGGGGAAGUGCAUCUGAAACUGGCGGGCUAGAGUACGAAAGAGGGUCGCGGAAUUCCCGGUGUAGAGGUGAAAUUCGUAGAUAUCGGGAGGAACACCGGUGGCGAAGGCGGCGACCUGGGUCGAUACUGACGCUGAGGCGCGAAAGCCAGGGGAGCAAACGGG
rnacentral:rRNA from 1 species